rnacentral:rRNA from 1 species
CGGACGGGUGAGUAACGCGUGGAAACCUGCCGUAUACUGGGGGAUAACACUUAGAAAUAGGUGCUAAUACCGCAUAAGCGCACAGCUUCGCAUGAAGCGGUGUGAAAAACUCUGGUGGUAUACGAUGGUUCCGCGUCUGAUUAGCUAGUUGGUGGGGUAAUGGCCUACCAAGGCAACGAUCAGUAGCCGGCCUGAGAGGGUGAACGGCCACAUUGGGACUGAGACACGGCCCCAAACUCCUACGGAAGGCAGCAG